AGUCCCUUCUGCCCUGUGCCUCGGUGCCUGUGACCUGAGCCCCCUGGUUGACCCCUGCACUCAGUCCAACUUGGGCCAAACGACUGCCCCUCCUUCUGGCAGUGGGCUGGACCAGCCGGCCAGCGGGAGCCCCCUUGGCAGAAGCCGGUCGUAAAGGAUCAUAAACUGGGCGGCGUCUGGCUGGGGCGAAGGUCGCUGAACUGCUCUGUGAACAAGGACAUCUUUGAAGUAGAGGAGAACACAAAUGUCACCGAGCCGCUGGUGGACAUCCACGUCCCGGAGGGCCAGGAGGUGACCCUCGGAGCCUUGUCCACCCCCUUUGCAUUUCGGAUCCAGGGAAACCAGCUGUUUCUCAACGUGACUCCUGAUUACGAGAGAAGUCACUGCUUGAGGCUCAGCUGCUGUGUCAGAGCGGAGGCACAUU
rnacentral:lncRNA from 10 species